rnacentral:lncRNA from 1 species
AGGCCGUUCUUCUCCGGUCGCGUAGAAGGAGGGUAAAUCUGUUCCUGUUUUAGGUGCUAUAUGAUUUGCAUGAGGUUUUUGAUACAACUUUAGUUUUUCAAACUGAUUACCGAGACUAUCUUUUGAUUUUAAACUCAUUGUUGUUCAUGGCUUCUAACAUGAGUGCUAAUACAACUCCUGUUGACCCUACCGGUCCUCUUUUUGUUU